CUGAGUUGGAAGGGACCCUGAGAGGUCAUCUAUUUUUAUUUUUCACUCAGAGGGUGGUGAUGCACUGGAACAGGUUGCCCAGCGAGGUUGUGGAUACUCCAUUCCUGGAGGCAUUCAAGGCAAGGCUGGAUGUGGCUCUGGACAGAGCUUGCUCUAGUGGUUGGCGGCCCUGUCCAUGGCAGGGGGGUUGAAAGUGGAUGAUCUUUGAGGUCCUUUUCAACCCCGGCCAUUCUGUGAUUCUGUGAUUCUAUGGUUCUAUGGUUCUAUGAUUCUAUGAUCUAGUCCAACCCCCCUGUGAUGAAUAGGGACACGUGCAGCUACAUCAGGUUGCUCAGAGCCCCAUCCAGCCUGACACUGAGUGUCUCCAGGGACGAGGCAUCCACAACCUCUCUGGGCAAUCUGCUCCAGUGCCUCACUACCCUUAUUACAAAAACUUCUUUCUUAUAUCCAGUCUAAAUCUCCCUUCUUUUAGUUUGAGACCAAUUCCCCUUUUUCUAUCACAGCAGACCCUGCUGAAGAGUCUGUUCCCUUCUUUCUAAUAGACGCCCUUUAGAUACUGAAAGGCUGCUCUCAGCUGUUGCAUGUAGUCUCCGUUCGCUCGUCCGGUGUUCGUCCUCUGUCCACAUGUAGGGCUUACUGCUGGGCGAAACCGACCCUUUACCAGGUCGGGGCCAGAUGCUCACCCAGACCCCAGGAGUAAGUGAGGCAAAUGGCGUUUAUUCACUACUAAACACAGCUUAUAUACAUUUUACCUAGAUAACCGUGCUGUCAUGUCCCACUCUGAUUAGUUCACACCAGAUAACAUUGUGCCUUAUUUGGCCGUUUCCGCAUUCUUUUAUCAUCCUUCUUCUUCUCCUGUUUUCUCUGCAACAAGGUCAGCACGAUAGCACUAUCUCUCUAUGUUUAGGGAGAGGCCUGUCCCGUACAUCCCGUGCCCCCGCAAGACGCCUACUACAACAUCUCCCCCUCCCUAAGCUAAAUACUACUUACACACACACCUAACCCGUACAUCGCGAAGCAGCGCAAAACGCCUAAUCCUAAAUAUAUUUCAGCACACUAUUCCUACUAUUUUCUACUACAGUUCUUAAGCAAUCAUCAGAGCAACAGGGAAUUCUUUUCCGUGCUCGGCCAAGCCUUGCCCCGUUACAGCACGAACGCAACAACCUAAACCCCUCUAUAAUUUUUCACGCAAUCUAUGAUACUCAAUGUGAUAGUCAAAAGUCUUGUCCAUCAUUCGUUGAAGGCAGUUCUGCAAGCAUCCUACAAAGCAUGGAAGACAGAUUAGAAUACACACAAAGAUUGCAAAUCCUACUGCGAGAGCUUUAAGCAAUUGCUUUAACCAUGAACCCGUUCCCCCAAACAGUCCGUCCAGCCAGCUUCCAAAGGGAUCACGCUCUUCUUUAAUUUUCUGCAUAUGUUCUUGUGUCCAUUGUAGUUGUUUGUGACACUCUGUAAUUGCCAUGGACACCAUAAAUAUCAGCAACAUCGGAAGUGUCAGCGUUGCAGGUGUAGUGCUCCUCUUGACGAGUGGUUCUUGAUCCCAUCGUCUGUCCCUCAGUUGUUCUGGAGUUGGCUUCGGUCUGCCAACGAAGAAUUUCUGUAGAAAACUCGCACCUAGACUCAGUUUUUGCAGAUAUUCUACUUAUAUCUGGUAUUACUUUUCGCGAUGGUACCCACAGAAUUUCCCAGAUUCAUGAUAUUUAACUGCCGCAUACCCGACCACGGAUACCCUUUAGCAAGCCCUUCCUGUGAUCAGGAGGCCCUGACUGGCCUCCCCCACAGGGGCAUUGUGCUCUAACAUGGCCAUACUGGCCGUAUCGGAAACACAGCCCUUGCUGCUGCAGCGAUCUUUGCUGUCGCAGGCCAACAGCUACGACAAUAGCUGUGACUAGCCUUUCAUUAGUUAAAUGAGCCACCUUGAGCUUAUCUAAGACAUACUGAAUAACUUCUCCCGAGGUAUUAAGCGUACUUCGGCCGGCUCGCAGCAAUGCCUUAACAUUGUCAUGCGAUUUCUGCUGCAAGCAGUCAAUGAUCACUGGCCCUUGGGCCGGUACCAGGAGAUCAGACCCCUCUGCAGCAGCUAAAAGCCUGUCUGUAAAGCUUUGAAAGGAUUCAUUCGGGCCCUGGGUAAUAUCUGUGCACGGAGUAGGUGGUUCGGCCUUAUGCACAAGUUUAUUAAACGCUUCCACCACUGCAUCUGUGGCUGCUAUUAGCUCCCCUGACCUUAGUCUCGCUAGCUGGCCCUGGGGCGAAGCCACUCCCACGGCCUUCCCUGAAAGCCGCUGUAUUCCGGUCCCAUGCAGGGAGCGGCGCGGGCCGACCCCUGUCGCCCCGGCACGGCCCCCCAACUCGGCCACCCAGUCCGUCUCCCAUAACGUAUAUUGAACCAGCCUGAGCACCGUACGCAUUAAGUUUGUGAUGUCACGGGGGAGGAGAGGCCCCAGUGCAGCCAAAGUUUGUAGUGCAUUUAAUGUCAGAGGCGAUUUCAGGCCUCUUUUAUCCAUAAAUUCCACCAGGCGCGUAACACCCCCGGGGUCAGGCGGCACCCAUUCGGGACCACGAUCACUCACGAUCACCCGGAAUGCCUCUGGAACUAUACCCUUCCCCAAAGCCUCCGAUCUAAUCCCAUUCCAGUCCGUCAUUUGAUCCCUCCCCCUGCACUCAAACCCAGUCCCUUCUUUCUCUUCUACACUAUCACUCGCACUACCGCCCCUGGGAGUGACCAGAGACAGUAGGCUAUGCCCCCUGUCCGCAUUGGACGGACCUUUUGUCUGGUCCCUCCCCAUGUGGGCACUAAGUUGAUCCUGCCCGUGUAGAUCACAGCUUCCUCCGCCCCCUUGAGUCAGGUAACACUGACGUAAUUCUGAUAAAGGAUACAACGUUCCGCCUGAGGGGUGUGGAUACGGGGGAGGGGGACGAGACAACGAACUUUCACUCUCUUGUUGUUUGUCUUCUUUUGAACUGAGCGCGGUCGGCUCAGCCGGCGCCAUCCCGCCAACGGUCAUUGGCGGCUCCGUCUCCUCUCGGCCCCUGCAAGAAACUGCUCCCGAACCCCCAUCGGACCCGACCGGGUCCUGUGUCUCACCUCCUCCGCUGAGACCCAAAAGGUAUCGAGCCUCCACCAAUACCUUUCCCUCAACUCUGGCCGCUUUAAGGGCUCCUAAUAUCAGUCCCCACGUUUUAAGUUCCGUAGCCUUCUGACUGGCCAUGGCGCGCUGGCAUAGCACCGAGGUGAGCAAGUCCCACCUACUCGAAUCCAAAACGUAGCGGGGAGAGUCCAGCUCCCCCAGCUCAUUUAAUAGCGACAAAACUGCCGCGAUCUCCUUCCGGGAAGGAGCAGAUUUUCCACAGUAGUCCUUACAAAACUGCACAAGUACCUUAAUGACUUGGUCCAUUGUUACGUAUGCGACCUGCCGCCACCUCGCAGGCUCUUAACCGCAAUACGUCUUCCGUGCGCGACCUGCCGCCACCUCACAGGCUCUUCUCCGCGUCACGGGCACGCCGGGCAGCCACCCUCAGCAGACAGAUCACGUCGGGGUCACCACUUGUUGCAUGUAGUCUCCGUUCGCAUCGUCCGGUGUUCGUCCUCUGUCCACAUGUAGGGCUUACUGCUGGGCGAAACCGACCCUUUACCAGGUCGGGGCCAGAUGCUCACCCAGACCCCAGGAGUAAGUGAGGCAAAUGGCGUUUAUUCACUACUAAACACAGCUUAUAUACAUUUUACCUAGAUAACCGUGCUGUCAUGUCCCACUCUGAUUAGUUCACACCAGAUAACAUUGUGCCUUAUUUGGCCGUUUCCGCAUUCUUUUAUCAUCCUUCUUCUUCUCCUGUUUUCUCUGCAACAAGGUCAGCACGAUAGCACUAUCUCUCUAUGUUUAGGGAGAGGCCUGUCCCGUACAUCCCGUGCCCCCGCAAGACACCUACUACAACACUCAGCUCUCCCUGGAGCCUUCUCUUCUCCAGGAUGAGCAGCCCAAGCUCUCUCAGCUUGUCCUCCUAGAAGAAGUGUUCCAUCCCUUGGAUCAUUUUUGUGGCCCUCCUCUGGACGCCUUCCAACAGGUCCAUGUCUCUCCUGUACUGAGGACUCCACAUCUGGACACAGUACACCAGGUUCAGAGUCACUUCACUGUCAAUUAGAGCAAAAGCAGUACUUACACUGUACAUUAAAACACCUAUCAGUGUAUCUGAGAUCUCAGCUUGUCAGGUAGACUCAGAGCAUGGAGCCCAUAUAAGUUUCAAGAGGUUACAUGAGGACUACAGAAGGCUAAUAGCAUGAUAACAGCUGCUAGCACGGGGAUGUAAGCAAUGCAAACAUCAGAUUCAUGCAGUUUGGCUAGCUUGUUGCCAAGGAUGUCAGACUCCUGAGUGAUGGAGAAAGCUUUGCCACAAUUGACACUGUCUCCAGCUUCCAAAGGCUGAAAUAAUACUCCUGGCUAUAAGCCAUCCUUUGCCCACAUCCAGGAGUGCUCCAAACAUGACUGCUUCAGAGGACCUGAGAAUACUGACACCAGCCUAGCAGAGGACUCCAUGAAAAGUGAAAAAAACAUCCUGCAGUCUCUCAUCCAGAUGUAUCAUUUUGGCACGUCGAAGAUGAAGAGACACUAUAGCUUGCAAAAUUAGAUCUCACCAGUCUUACAGGUAAGAUCUAUCAAGUUUCAUCUGCAAAUGUGGCACCCUACAAAUGUGACUAAACUACUUCCAGAGCCAGGUCACACAAGAAAGCAGCAUAGCUGCAUUCCUGCUUCAGAGGACCACAUCAACAGCCUACAGAGCCAGGUUGAUGUUUUCCAUUGCGUGUAACUGGAGGUUACAAUGUGCCAUGCGACUAAGCAGUCAGACAACUUCAUUAUAGCCUUACUUACUGUCAGCAGGUUGAUGCUGUUUAUGCAGGUGAACGGGCUCAACGUGGCUUUGGCACUUCAUGAGAGCUUCCUGGGAACUGGAGCACUACUUACUAUAUAUCACUGGAAACAGCAUGGUAGCUGUUGGGAUAUAUACAAGAGCAACAAAAGGGACGUUGCAAUAUCUAGGAGAAAAGAAUUAACACCUGAUACAUUUUAAAAGUACAGUGAGCAGGCCAAACAUUUAAGGUAAAAUAACCGUUUUCCAGAAGUGAUUUCAUUACUUUUCCUUCUGUGUUAUUUGUAAUUUUCUCAACAGUGCAGUAUUUUUAACUUUGAGACAAUAUAUUAAUGUGGGGAUAUUGUCAGUGUAGCUAAUCUUUUCUUUUAGGAACAUCUUAAAAAUUAGCAUAUCUAUCUAAACUGCUAAAAGAGAGAUUACCCCAUCGUUAACUACACACACAUGUUAACGAGAGAGGUGGGAUCGAGACCUCAUGACAACUGCAGACCUCUCUCUACGCACUUAGGCAUAGUGUACCCAUAGCGUAUAAGGGAUGUACCUUUGUUCUGUUGGGGUGCACAUUAAAAAGGAAAUAUCCCCUGGGCAUCCGGGGCCGUAUUAGAGAAUGCCUGCUUCUUAAUACCCACAUUUGUCUUAAGGAGUUUUAUUUGGGUCGAGGUUUGUCUGGCAACAGGUAGACCAAAUGUUUGAGACAGGAGAAAGAUACUGCAGUUCGUCUGCAUUUCAGAGCACUCUUCCUGAGACAGGCUAUGCCGGUGACAACACAUGAUACUGUCUGAGGUAUGUGCUCACUGUAUCUUCUUCCCAGAAAUAAUACAUACUUUAGAGAACAGAGGACAAUAUCUGAGAAGUGUAACUGCUACUUAUACAGCAAAUGCUCUGUAUGCUACACAACUGUAAAAUGAUCAAUCAAGGCUUGUCAAAAAUGAAAAUCCACAAAAAUAAUAAAAAAAAGGCCAUGAAAUGAAAUAAAAGGGGAAAAAAUAAGAGCUGAAUGCACAUACUCUAUUAAAGCAUGAAUAUCAGGAUAAGGCAUAUGAAAAGAGACGUAGGAGAGCAACUGUAGUUUUAAAACACUUGAUAAUUAAAGAUGAAACAAAAAGUAGAAUAAGAUUAGAUUGAAGGAAGGAAGUCUAGCAAGGUUGUGGAAACUUGAGAAAAAAUAGUUACAUGUAGAACAAAUAAGAAACAGGAUGUUGUACUUCAUAAAGUUACACAAAGUUAAAAGAUUUAAACAUAAAAAAUAUAACAGCUUUCAGUGUAAUUUAUGGUAUAAAGACACUUCUUAUUUUGUGGAGUAAAAGCAAGCAACUUCUGAUCUUCAGAUCAAUCUAAAUAGAUAUUUAAUUGUUUAGAUUUCAAGGUCUCAAUCAAUUACUUCUUCCAACAGUAAAUAUCCAUAGUUAAAAUGCUUUGGGAUGUUUCUAUCUUUGUACUCUGUCUUUUUCUCUCAUCUCGAAGAAAAGCUCAAAGAAUAUAAAUAUAAGGAAUAAUUUUUUUACAGUGAGGGUGGUGAGGUAUUGAAAUACGUUGCCCAGUGUUGUGGUUCAUGUCCUGAUCCUGGAGACUUUCAAGGCAAGGCUGGACUGGGCCCCAGGCAACCUGAUCUAGCUGUGGUUGUCCCUGUUAGUUGCAGGGGAGUUAGACUAGAUGGUCUUUAGAGGUGCCUUCCAACUCUAAGGAUUCUAUUAUUCUAAAAGCUAAUGCAAAUGUAAAAGCUAGAAUGAAAAAUCAGUCUUUCAAAAUGAUAAUGAUUUGUAAGCUUUCAACAUUGUCUAAAAAUCUGUGUAAAAUGCAUGCACCAUAAUGUGAAAUAAACAAAUGAAAACAUAGCUUAGAUGUA
ensembl:lncRNA